UACGAAGGGUGCAAGCGUUACUCGGAAUUACUGGGCGUAAAGCGUGCGCAGGCGGUUUUGUAAGUCUGUCGUGAAAUCCCCGGGCUUAACCUGGGAAUGGCGAUGGAGACUGCAAGGCUAGAGUUUGGCAGAGGGGGGUAGAAUUCCACGUGUAGCAGUGAAAUGCGUAGAGAUGUGGAGGAACACCGAUGGCGAAGGCAGCCCCCUGGGUCAAAACUGACGCUCAUGCACGAAAGCGUGGGGAGCAAACAGG
rnacentral:rRNA from 1 species